UACGUAGGGUGCGAGCGUUAAUCGGAAUCACUGGGCUUAAAGGGCGCGUAGGCGGGCUGUCAAGUCUGGGGUGAAAUCCCACGGCUCAACCGUGGAACUGCCUUAGAUACUGACGGCCUCGAGGGAGAUAGGGGCGAGCGGAACUGUGAGUGGAGCGGUGAAAUGCGUUGAUAUUCACAGGAACUCCGGUGGCGAAGGCGGCUCGCUGGAUCUUUUCUGACGCUGAGGCGCGAAAGCUAGGGGAGCAAACGGG
rnacentral:rRNA from 1 species